rnacentral:miRNA from 1 species
GACUAUAAAGUAAUGAGAUUGAUUUCUGUGGUGUAGUAAAUGGAAAUCAGUUUCAUUACUUUACAGUCACAUCUAAUCUUCU